AACGAACGCUGGCGGCAUGCCUAACACAUGCAAGUCGAACGAGACCUUCGGGUCUAGUGGCGCACGGGUGCGUAACGCGUGGGAAUCUGGCCUUGGGUUCGGAAUAACUCCUCGAAAGGGGAGCGAAUACCGGAUGAUGUCGUAAGCUCAAAGAUUUAUCGCCGAAGGAGGAGCCCGCGUAGGAUUAGCUAGUUGGUGGGGUAAUGGCCUACCAAGGCGACGAUCCUUAGCUGGUCUGAGAGGAUGAUCAGCCACACUGGGACUGAGACACGGCCCAGACUCCUACGGGAGGCAGCAGUGGGGAAUAUUGGACAAUGGGCGAAAGCCUGAUCCAGCAAUGCCGCGUGAGUGAUGAAGGCCCUAGGGUUGUAAAGCUCUUUUACCCGGGAUGAUAAUGACAGUACCGGGAGAAUAAGCCCCGGCUAACUCCGUGCCAGCCGCCACUGUAACAC
rnacentral:rRNA from 1 species